UACGUAGGGGGCCUAGCGUUGUCCGGAUUUAUUGGGCGUAAAGAGCUCGUAGGCGGUUUGGUGAGUCGGGUGUGAAAUCUCCACGCUCAACGUGGAGGGGCCACCCGAUACUGCCAUGACUAGAGUCCGGUAGGGGAGUGUGGAAUUCCCGGUGUAGCGGUGAAAUGCGCAGAUAUCGGGAGGAACACCUGAGGUGAAGACGGGUUGCUGGGCCGACACUGACGCUGAGUGCGCGAAAGCCAGGGGAGCAAACGGG
rnacentral:rRNA from 1 species